GAGCUGUGAAGAAAUUGGCUUUAGCGAUGGUUGGGUCCUUCGCACACAUCUGAUUCCAGAUGAUAUAUGCCUCACGUCUGAGCUC
rnacentral:snoRNA from 1 species